rnacentral:rRNA from 1 species
UGGGGAAUCUUGCGCAAUGGGGGGAACCCUGACGCAGCGACGCCGCGUGCGGGACGGAGGCCUUCGGGUCGUAAACCGCUUUCAGCAGGGAAGAGUCAAGACUGUACCUGCAGAAGAAGCCCCGGCUAACUACGUGCCAGCAGCCGCGGUAAUACGUAGGGGGCGAGCGUUAUCCGGAUUCAUUGGGCGUAAAGCGCGCGUAGGCGGCCCGGCAGGCCGGGGGUCGAAGCGGGGGGCUCAACCCCCCGAAGCCCCCGGAACCUCCGGCGCUUGGGUCCGGUAGGAGCGGGUGGAACACCCGGGGUAGCGGUGGAAUGCGCAGAUAUCGGGUGGAACACCGGUGGCGAAGGCGGCCCUCUGGGCCGAGACCGACGCUGAGGCGCGAAAGCUGGGGGAGCGAACAGG